GACGAACGCUGGCGGCGUGCUUAACACAUGCAAGUCGAACGGGAUCCAAAGGCUUUUUGUUUUUGGUGAGAGGGGCGAACGGGUGAGUAACACGUGAGUAACCUGCCCCCUUCUUUUGGAUAACCGCAUGAAAGUGUGGCUAAUACAGGAUAUUCCAGGCUGGUCGCAUGAUUGGUUUGGGAAAUGGUUUGGUCUGGUGGGGGAUGGGCUCGCGGCCUAUCAGCUUGUUGGUGGGGUGAUGGCCUACCAAGGCGGUGACGGGUAGCCGGCCUGAGAGGGUGGGCGGUCACACUGGGACUGAGAUACGGCCCAGGCUCCUACGGGAGGCAGCAGUGGGGGAUUUUGCAGAAUGGGCGCAAGACUGAUGCAGCGACGCCGCGUGAGGGAUGAAGGCCUUCGGGUUGUAAACCUCUUUCGCUGGGUUGAAAGGCCAUGCUUUGGGUGUGGUUGAUUUGAACAGGUAAAGAAGUACCGGCUAACUACGU
rnacentral:rRNA from 1 species